CCUACGGGAGGCAGCAGUGAGGAAUAUUGGUCAAUGGGCGCGAGCCUGAACCAGCCAAGCCGCGUGAGGGAUGAAGGUUCUAUGGAUCGUAAACCUCUUUUGUAAGGGAAUAAAGUGUGGGACGUGUCCUAUUUUGUAUGUACCUUAUGAAUAAGGAUCGGCUAACUCCGUGCCAGCAGCCGCGGUAAUACGGAGGUUCCGAGCGUUAUCCGGAUUUAUUGGGUUUAAAGGGUGCGUAGGCGGCCUUUUAAGUCAGCGGUGAAAGGCUGGGGCUCAACCCUGGGAUUGCCGUUGAAACUGGGGGGCUUGAGUGUGGUUGAGGUAGGUGGAAUGCGUGGUGUAGCGGUGAAAUGCUUAGAUAUCACGCAGAACCCCGAUGGCGAAGGCAGCCUGCCGGGCCAUGACUGACGCUGAGGCACGAAAGCGUGGGGAUCAAACAGGAUUAGAUACCCUAGUAGUC
rnacentral:rRNA from 1 species